rnacentral:lncRNA from 1 species
UUUUUUUAUGAAAUGUUAAAUUUAUCGAUCAUUAUAAAAAUAAAUUAUAUGUACACAAGGUCUUAAGAAAGAAAGAAAAAAUAUAAUAACAAAUAACAGUAAAAUCGAUAGGUCUUCCGAAGAAAGUAACAGCGAAUUGAAAACGAAGUUGAAUGUAUCAAAUGAGUCUUCACAACAAAAUCGAACAACUCAUAAUAGUCGCAACUAGGUGCGACGUUAGAAGAAGCAAGCUCAAUAAUGAUUCUGAAAUGCCAUCUCCUUUCACAGAAAGAAGGAAGGAUGAUGGUAGCCACUCCUUAAUAAAUCAGGAUAGCAAAAACAAAAUUGUAACACAUAAUUAAAUUUUAUUCAGAACUUUUUUUGGAAAUAUGAAUAAUGAACAGAGCCCCCGAUGAACUCACCAGAAAUGUCUAUUGUAGGAGAUGGAUUCCAUCAUUCCUCAAGGCCCACUAAAUAUGACGUUCGGCCCAUCAAGACAGCUCAGGAUAUCGGCUUGUGACCGACGACUCCCGACUAAGUACUAACAAUCGGCUUAAGAUUGCUUUUGUCAGCAUCGGUAAGCUCGAUGCAGAAACUCGGCUUAGGAGUUCGAGAUAUAAGAUUAGGCCCAUCAGGAAAAAGCGACCUAGGGAAAAGGAGAAGUAUGGCUUAUCUAUAUAAGGCAGAAGAGACGGACAAAGGGGACCGAACAUGGAGACUCAUAUUUGGCGGCUAGAAACUAGGACUUUUACUUCUUUUUUACUCGCUGACUUGUACUUUUCCGACUAUCUUUCCAAACACCGGUUUACUUUUCUGUUUACUCUUUCCGAUUUGUAACCAAUUCCUCUUUCCCGA